rnacentral:rRNA from 1 species
CGAAAGCCUGACGGAGCAACGCCGCGUGAGGGAUGGAGGCCUUUGGGCUGUAAACCUCUUUUCUCAAGGAAGAAGAUCUGACGGUACUUGAGGAAUAAGCCACGGCUAAUUCCGUGCCAGCAGCCGCGGUAAUACGGGAGUGGCAAGCGUUAUCCGGAAUUAUUGGGCGUAAAGCGUCCGCAGGCGGCCGUUUAAGUCUGUUGUUAAAUCGUGGAGCUCAACUCCAUCACGGCAAUGGAAACUGUUCGGCUUGAGUAUGGUAGGGGCAGAGGGAAUUUCCGGUGUAGCGGUGAAAUGCGUAGAUAUCGGGAAGAACACCAGUGGCGAAAGCGCUCUGCUGGGCCAUUACUGACGCUCAUGGACGAAAGCCAGGGGAGCGAAAGGGAUUAGAUACCCCUGUAGUCCUGGCCGUAAACGAUGAACACUAGAUGUUGGGGGAAUCGACCCCCUCGGUGUCGUAGCUAACGCGUUAAGUGUUCCGCCUGGGGAGUACGCACGCAAGUGUGAAACUCAAAGGAAUUGACGGGGGCCCGCACAAGCGGUGGAGUAUGUGGUUUAAUUCGAUGCAACGCGAAGAACCUUACCAAGGCUUGACAUCCUGCGAAUCUCUAAGAAAUUAGAGAGUGCCUUCGGGAACGCAGUGACAGGUGGUGCAUGGCUGUCGUCAGCUCGUGUCGUGAGAUGUUGGGUUAAGUCCCGCAACGAGCGCAACCCACGUUUUUAGUUGCCAGCAUUCAGUUGGGCACUCUAGAAAGACUGCCGGUGACAAACCGGAGGAAGGUGUGGACGACGUCAAGUCAUCAUGCCCCUUACGCCUUGGGCUACACACGUACUACAAUGCUGCGGACAAAGAGUAGCGAUCUUGCGAAAGUUAGCUAAUCUCAUAAACCGUGGCUCAGUUCAGAUCGUAGGCUGCAACUCGCCUACGUGAAGGAGGAAUCGCUAGUAAUCGCAGGUCAGCAUACUGCGGUGAAUACGUUCCCGGGCCUUGUACACACCGCCCGUCACACCAUGGAAGUUGGCCAUGCCCGAAGUCGUUACUCUAACCUUUUGGAAGAGGGCGCCGAAGGCAGGGCUAAUGACUGGGGUGAAGGCGUAACAAGGUAGCCGUAGCGGAAGCUGCGGCUGGAUCACCUCCUAA